rnacentral:rRNA from 1 species
UAGAUACCCUAUUAUUAAAAUAUAAAUAUUAAAUUCUAGAUUAAUAUUAAAUAUAUUUAUGAAAUAAAAAUAAUUUGGCGGUAUUUUAGUCUAUUCAGAGGAAUUUGUUCUGUAAUCGAUAGUCCACGUUAUAUCUGACUUAUUUUAUUUAAUUUGUAUAUCGUUGUCAUUAGAAUAUUUUAUAAGAAAUAAUAAUUUUCUUUAAUUUAAGAUAAAAUUUUAUGUCAAAUCAAGGUGCAGUUUAUAUUUAAGUAGAAAUGGAUUACAAUAAUAUAUAAUUAAAUGAAUAUAUGGUUUAAAUAAUGUAUUGAAGGUGGAUUUGAUAGUAAAUUU